rnacentral:rRNA from 1 species
AGAUUGAACGCUGGCGGCAUGCCUAACACAUGCAAGUCGAACGGGAGUAGCAAUACUCUAGUGGCGGACGGGUGAGGAAUACGUAGGAAUUUGCCCUUAAGUGGGGGAUAACCCGGGGAAACCCGGAUUAAUACCGCAUGACCUCGAAAGAGCAAAGUGGGGGAUCGCAAGACCUCACGCUUUUGGAGAAGCCUACGUCGGAUUAGCUAGUUGGUGAGGUAAUGGCUCACCAAGGCGACGAUCCGUAACUGGUCUGAGAGGAUGAUCAGUCACACCGGAACUGAGACACGGUCCGGACUCCUACGGGAGGCAGCAGUGGGGAAUAUUGGACAAUGGGCGACAAGCCUGACU